rnacentral:rRNA from 1 species
AACCUUUACAAUGCUGGAAACAGCGAUAGGGGGACCUCGAGUGCCUUGGUACAACCAAGGCUGUCGUUGUGUCUAAAAAACACGAUAUAGCAAGGGCCGGGCAAGACCGGUGCCAGCCGCCGCGGUAACACCGGCGGCUCGAGUGGUAACCGUUAUUAUUGGGUUUAAAGGGUCUGUAGCCGGCCGGAUAAGUCUCUUGGGAAAUCUGGCAGCUCAACUGUCAGGCUUUCAGGAGAUACUGUUCGGCUCGAGACCGGGAGAGGUGAGAGGUACUUCAGGGGUAGGGGUGAAAUCUUGUAAUCCUUGAAGGACCACCAGUGGCGAAGGCGUCUCACCAGAACGGAUCUGACGGCAAGGGACGAAAGCUAGGGGCACGAACCGG